rnacentral:rRNA from 1 species
GACGAACGCUGGCGGCGUGCUUAACACAUGCAAGUCGAACGGAAAGGCCCUGCUUUUGUGGGGUGCUCGAGUGGCGAACGGGUGAGUAACACGUGAGUAACCUGCCCUUGACUUUGGGAUAACUUCAGGAAACUGGGGCUAAUACCGGAUAGGAGCUCCUGCUGCAUGGUGGGGGUUGGACAGUUUCGGCGGUUGGGGAUGGACUCGCGGCUUAUCAGCUUGUUGGUGGGGUAGUGGCUUACCAAGGCUUUGACGGGUAGCCGGCCUGAGAGGGUGACCGGACAAAUUGGGACGGAGAUACGGCCCAGACUCGUACGGGAGGCAGCAGUGGGGAAUAGUGCACAAUGGGAGGAAGGCUGAUGCAGCAACGCCGCGUGGGGGAUAACGGCCUGCGGGUUGUAAACCGCUUUCGCCUGUGACGAAGCGUGAGUGACGGUAAUGGGUAAAGAAGCACCGGCUAACUACGUG